rnacentral:rRNA from 1 species
GACGAACGCUGGCGGCGUGCUUAACACAUGCAAGUCGAACGGAAAGGUCCUGCUUUUGUGGGGUGCUCGAGUGGCUAACGGGUGAGUAACAAGUGAGUAACCUGCCCUUGACUUUGGGAUAACUUCAGGAAACUGGGGCUAAUACCGGAUAGGAGCUCCUGCUGCAUGGUGGGGGUUGGAAAGUUUCGGCGGUUUGGGAUGGACUCGCGGCUUAUCAGCUUGUUGGUGGGGUAGUGGCUUACCAAGGCUUUGACGGGUAGCCGGCCUGAGAGGGUGAACGGCCACAUUGGGACUGAGAUACGGCCCAGACUCCUACGGGAGGCAGCAGUGGGGAAUAUUGCACAAUGGGCGGAAGCCUGAUGCAGCAACGCCGCGUGCGGGAUGACGGCCUUCGGGUUGUAAACCGCUUUCGCCUGUGACGAAGCGUGAGUGACGGUAAUGGGUAAAGAAGCACCGGCUAACUACGUG